GCAGGCGCAGCCUCACGCAGCCGCGGCAGCCACCACCCGCUGUCCGCUCCCCGGUUCCCCCAUCCCGGCCGUCCCCCAGGCGCGGAGGUGCCCGACGCCGGCCUUCCUCUCGGACGUCGGCGUCGGCCGCGACCCCGCCGGCAUCAAGUACUACGCCCGCGUCGCAUCCAACCUCGCGGGCACCGGCGGCCUCCGCGACUUCCUCCUCGCCGCUGAGGGCCUCCGCGCAGCCGCGGGCGACGACCCCAGCUCCAGACCGCGUAGUGCCGGCGGCCGCCGCCAGACGCUGGACUUCCUCGACCUGAAGCCACCGAGGCGCCGACCGCCGCCCAACUCCCACUUCAUCCUCGACGGCUCGACCCCAAGCUGCGCCUGAACUUCCCGAGACUUUGCGUGCGUUCCCUUGAGCAGUGCCAGUCCCUCAAACAGCGACAAGGGCGUGGCCUGGGACCGGGGGGACGUGCAGGCCGGCAACGGGGAGGAAGCAGGAGUGGCAGCAGAACGAGACGCCGACGACGCAGUUGAGGCCGCAGGAGGAGACGCGGCCCUGAACGAACCCACCGCCCCAGGAGACGAGUCUACGUCGUUUGCCGUUGCCAUCUGUACUCUUCGGCUAUACAGUAGCAAUAUGUUUAGCUCUUGGGUAUGGAAUUUACUGUGCAAGGGAAGAGUAAUGAAAGUGAGGGGACUGAUUCAGAGAGUAAUUCAUUUGACAAGAACGAUGAGAUGUCUGAGGAUGAGUUGAUAGUGCUAGGUGGGAAAGGUGCUGCUGAAUCUGAUGGUGGAAGUG